CUCGAAAUACUGAUCAAUGCAAGUCAAAGUAGAAGGACUUCUCUGCCAUGUUUGAGGUGUUUAGAAGAGUAAUCGCAGAAUGUAACAGUGUGCUAUGAAUCUGUAGAAACGAAAGACUCAAGAGAAAGCAGUUCAGCCCAUGAGAAAUGCUGAGCCUGCAAAUGAUCCUGCUUAGAUUCCAUCAAAAUAAACACAGCAGACCCUUCUGGGAUGAUACCAGCCAUCAAGAUGUGAAUAAGAUGCUGGCCAGAAAGGAUCGCUGGAGAAAUACAAGUUUUAAAGCUGCUACAGAUCUUUAAGAAGCUGGCAGUUUUCACACAGACUAGAAGUUAUUUGCAUAUUAUUGUUAAUUGUGUUUAUACAUUUUAAAAGGUUUAUUUAUGCAGGAUGUUAAUAAA